rnacentral:rRNA from 1 species
GACGAACGCUGGCGGCGUGCUUAACACAUGCAAGUCAAACGGUGAACCCGGAGCUUGCUCCGGCGGAUUAGUGGCGAACGGGUGAGUAACACGUGAGUAACCUGCCCUUGACUCUGGGAUAACUGCUAGAAAUGGUAGCUAAUACCGGAUACGACCCUCGGUGGCAUCACCAGGGGGUGGAAAGGAUUUCGGUCAAGGAUGGACUCGCGGCCUAUCAGCUAGUUGGUGAGGUAACGGCUCACCAAGGCGACGACGGGUAGCCGGCCUGAGAGGGUGACCGGCCACACUGGGACGGAGACACGGCCCAGACUCCUACGGGAGGCAGCAGUGGGGAAUAUUGCACAAUGGGCGCAAGCCUGAUGCAGCAACGCCGCGUGAGGGAUGACGGCCUUCGGGUUGUAAACCUCUUUUAGUAGGGAAGAAGCGAAAGUGACGGUACCUGCAGAAAAAGCACCGGCUAACUACGUGCCAGCAGCCGCAGUAA